rnacentral:ncRNA from 2 species
CUGAAAAUUAAAGCGCCAGAACCCGGAAAUUGCCGGUUAGCCAGUUGAUUUAACAGGUAUUCCGGGUUGACGAGGAGGGAGUUUAUCGAAGUUUUCGGCGGGUGCUCCCCGGUUAGCCACGACCGUGAACGACACUACAAAACCGGCCGGCAACGGCCGGGACAAAGGGUGUCCGGUGGCAUAAG